ensembl:lncRNA
AUAUACACACGCACACAGCGGACACAUUCCUCACUCCUGUGUGUGUUUGUGUGUGAGAGUGAGAGAUGGGCAUUGUUCAGAGAUGAGGCAAAGCCUUAAAAUGUAAACAGGGCAUGGAGAUAGUGUCACUCCGAGACUCCGGUCGAGACGUAGACCACCCUCGCACCUCACACACACAGCCGGGUGGUCCGGCGUCACGAUCUCACACGGAUCUGUCAUGCUUAGCGCAGCUCUGUGACUUGCUCGUGCGCUGCUCUCCAUCACUACCACACACACAACAUUCCUAAUCGUCUCAAACGAAGCUCGCUCAGACGCAGCGGACAAAGCUGGCCGAUUCUCGGCAGGGCUGUGCGUUUGGGACGAAGCCCUCGUGGCUGUGCGCCAGGUUAUGUUUCUCAUUUUCACCACUGCUGUCCAGGGAUGGCUCCCUGCCUGUGUGUGUAAAUGUGUGAAAUGAAGUGGGGGAAGGCUGGAGAAACACCACUCGUGUCCAUCAUGCAUGAGCUGCUCCUGAUCGAUAAGACGAGCCGAGGAAAAGGAGUGGAGAGGAAUAAAAAGAGGGGCCACACUGACUCAUAAAUCCCCAAUGCAGGGGGAAUGAGGAGAGAGGGAGGGAGGGAGAGAUUGAGAGAGCAAGAGAGAGAGAAAAAUGAGAGCGCAUCAUGCUGCCUCAGCACUCCCCUGAUACACUCCCUUUCACUUUUUUCCCCCCUCUCCUAGGAAACAAAGGAAGGUACUGAAUAAUGGCACAUACCUUAAAUGAAUCACAAGUCACUGACUCAUUGACUCAAAUGAAUCAGGAAAGGUUUUUUUUUCCAUUUCUCACAAUAUUAACUCUAUAAAUGAUGGUGUGCCCUAUAGGCUUCCCUACAUACAAGAAAAUGAGAUGUACUGCCCUAUAGGCUUCCCUACAUCUGUAAAAAUGGGAUGUAGUGCACUAUAGGCUUCCAUACAUGCAAGAAAAUGAGAUAUAUGCCCUAUAGGCUUCCCUACAACUGAAAAAAAGAGAAAUAGUGCCCUAUAGGCUUUCCUACAUCCAAGGAAAUUAGGUGGUGUCCUAUAGACUUCCCUACAUCCGAGAAAAUGAGAUAAAGUGCCAUAUAGGCUUCCCUACAACUAGGAAAACAAGAUGCAGUGCCCUAAAGGCUUCCCUACAACCGAUAAAAUGAGAUGAAGUGUGCUAUAGGCUUUCCUACAUGUGGGGUUGGAGGGGGGGUGAGAUGAAGUGCCCAAUAGGCUUCCCUACAUACAAGAAAAUUAGAUGUACUGCCAUAUAGGCUUUCCUAUAACUGAGAAAAUAAGAUGUACUGCCCUAUAGACUUCCCUACAACUGAAAAAUGAGAUGAAGUGCUCUAUAGGCUUCCCUACAUCUGUAAAAAUGGGAUGUAGUGCACUAUAGGCCUCCAUACAUGCAAGAAAAUGACAUGUAUGCCCUAUAGGCUUCCCUACAACUGAAAAAAAGAGAAAUAGUGC